GUGUCAGCAGCCGCGGUAAUACGUAGGGUGCGAGCGUUAAUCGGAAUUACUGGGCGUAAAGCGUGCGCAGGCGGCUUUGUAAGACAGGUGUGAAAUCCCCGGGCUUAACCUGGGAAUGGCGCUUGUGACUGCAAGGCUUGAGUUCGGCAGAGGGGGGUGGAAUUCCACGUGUAGCAGUGAAAUGCGUAGAGAUGUGGAGGAACACCGAUGGCGAAGGCAGCCCCCUGGGUCGCGACUGACGCUCAUGCACGAAAGCGUGGGGAGCAAACAGGAUUAGAAACCCCCGUAGUCC
rnacentral:rRNA from 1 species